CCUGCAGGCUUGCUGGACUUGCAAGAAACAGCUUUCUCGUCAGAACCUCUUUAGAAGGGUAGUGCAGCACAAGUCGCUAGCAUGUCCUCUUCCGAGUUCAACUGCCGCGUCACUUUUCUAUUAUUUUUAACUGUGUUGUCAAAUUUUGUAACGUCUAAUGUGUUUUUCCCCGCUGAAACGAACGAAGAGCUGGCUCAUUAUCGGUCAUUAAAAGAUAUCCUCUUUCGGUCGCAAACAGAAGAUACUGCCCGUUCGAUAGAAUCGCCUGUUGUUGCAAGUUUCCGACCAUCCAAUCCCAGCCCAACUCUGGCAUCUUCGCCCCAGAACGGAGCCAGUGUUUCCAAAAUUCGUUCCUUGGAAACUGAUGCAUUCUUUGUUCCUAAUUUUUCUCAGCAUUCACAUGCGGAUUUUAUCCCAUCCACUGCGUUUGCUCAAACUGAGGGAAGGAGGCCGAAUAGAUUACACUCAGUUGCUGAUUACAGAACGGUUUUGACGCAGGCUGCUAUCAACGAAUCCACGGUUGAUGUUAGGGUCGCUGAAGACCCCAGUCAGGAUCGUUGGCCCUGGCCGUACUCAAAAUCCGUCAAACAGACUGUCAGCAUCCAAAGUCGACAACUAGCAAAGCCAACCACCUUAAUCGUUAAAAAAUCGGUAGCCAAGCCUUACCGUCUGCUUGACCAGAACAUCUUCGUGCCCUAAACUGCUGCACGAUUUGACAGUUACCUGUUCAUUACCAAAGCAGCAACAAGAACAAUUUCAAACAGUGGAGUUCCAGUGGUACAAAACACAACACAAGAGCGUGACCGAAACCCAAAAUAAUUUACUGGAUUCCACCAUCAAGAUUCCAAUAGCCUUUGGAACUCAAGUAUUCCAUAAGGAUGCUCGUUAUAUUGCGUCAGUUGCUUCGCACUCGGCGAACCUCACUAUUCGCCAACUUAAACCCCAAGAUUGUGGGUCUUACAUCUGCGAAGCAGUGGACAUCCCCAACGCGACAGUCAUAUCUACUACAGAAUUUUUAGUUUUUCUCUGCUACUAGUUGUCGGUUAUUAGUUAUAGAUGACUGAACGUUAUAAGUCGUUCUAGCAGAUUGUAAAAAAAAGUAAAACUGGAUUUUACUAUUCAUGGUUAUAUACGGAUGUGCGCUUCAAUUGCUUUUUUGUAUCCCAAAUGUUAAAAGAAGAUUAUUACACAAAGAUUAUCAACCAAA